UAUUUAGUUAACUAAAUAUUAAAAAUGUCAAAAUGUCUUUUAUUGUCACAUAUUUUCCUUAAAAGCUUCCAAAAACCACAGUUUUUUUAUAAUAUUAUAUAAUAAUACAUUGAACAAGAAUUUGAAAGUUAAAACAUGUUUACCUCCUCAAAAAAUUUAUCCAUGAAUGCGGCCCCGGAUCCAUCUUGACGCCCAUCAAUAUUAACAGCCACAUCAUCGGCUCCACCUUCUUCAUCAUCGCUUUGAGCCUGAAAUCAAUAGAAGCAAUUUUUUUGAACAUGGCAUGAAGACAAGGUAUAGGUGCCUAUAAUAUAACUUUUAUCAUUCAACACAGCUAUAAAGAAACAGCAAGUUGUGGGUAGCAGCUCUUGCGCUUCCAUACACAACCAAAACAAUAAAAGAGCAAACUAACGUAAUAUAUCAGUAUCGUCAAAAACUACAGUAUGAUUCAUUAGCCUUACCGCUUUCAGAGCCGCUAGCCUGUCCUUAGUCAUUAUUUACAGUAUGGAAACACAAAAUGGAUAUAAAGACCAGCCAACGACGAUUAAGCCUCAUAAACACAUCAUUAAGUAACGGCAGUGACAACAGACACUGGAAUAGCUAAGCUAACUAAAAACCAAAAUAAUCUUGAAUCUGGGAAAAUAAUAAGAUUUCAAUAUUUUACUAUACAGAAGAGCGUGCGGAAAACUCGAAAA